CCUACGGGGGGCUGCAGUAGGGAAUUUUCGGCAAUGGGGGAAACCCUGACCGAGCAACGCCGCGUGAACGACGAAGUACUUCGGUAUGUAAAGUUCUUUUAAGAGGGAAGAAUGGCCCGCGGAAAAGCGGGCGUGACGGUACCUUUUGAAUAAGCCCCGGCUAACUAUGUGCCAGCAGCCGCGGUAAUACAUAGGGGGCAAGCGUUAUCCGGAAUUAUUGGGCGUAAAGGGUGCGUAGGUGGCCAUUUAAGUCUUUGGUGUAAGUUCAGCGCUCAACGCUGUGAUGCUAAAGAAACUGGGAGGCUUGAGUGUGGUAGAGGCAAGUGGAAUUCCAUGUGUAGCGGUAAAAUGCGUAAAUAUAUGGAGGAACACCGGUGGCGAAGGCGGCUUGCUGGGCCACAACUGACACUGAGGCACGAAAGCGUGGGGAGCAAACAGGAUUAGAUACCCCAGUAGUC
rnacentral:rRNA from 1 species